CAGCAGCCGCGGUAAUACAGAGGGUGCGAGCGUUAAUCGGAUUUACUGGGCGUAAAGCGUGCGUAGGCGGCUUUUUAAGUCGGAUGUGAAAUCCCUGAGCUUAACUUAGGAAUUGCAUUCGAUACUGGGAAGCUAGAGUAUGGGAGAGGAUGGUAGAAUUCCAGGUGUAGCGGUGAAAUGCGUAGAGAUCUGGAGGAAUACCGAUGGCGAAGGCAGCCAUCUGGCCUAAUACUGACGCUGAGGUACGAAAGCAUGGGGAGCAAACAGGAUUAGAUACCCGCGUAGUCCAUGUCUCUUAUAC
rnacentral:rRNA from 1 species